CAGACCCAUCUCUGAUCCUGCCUGCCAGGCUUGGAGCACAGGGACUCCCGUCUGGAGAGAUGCCCUCAGAGGGGAAGCGAGGAGGUGGGACAGGACCGUUGGCAAAUAAUAAGCUGGUAAUCUAGGACCUACGUGUGAACAACUUUAUAUGAAUAUUUUUUGUACUUGGUUUACUUGGGUUGGUAUGAUACAUUAUAUUUAAGUUCCUUGAACACUGUGGAUCCCCUAAUGUGUAUGAAUGACUGAGGCUUUGUAAAUUAUGGGACGUUUGUGUGAAUAAAGUUAUUUGAUGGGGUCAGAGAAGCCAUACGUGAUUUGAAAA